GCGCCACUGUUAAUCCCUCGGCUCGCCUGUUUGUGUGGCGGCUGAGUUUCAGAUGUGGUGCACAUCACCGCUCGCGCGCAGAGAGAUUCGCUGACAACACUAGAGCCCCCGUGGCUUCGAUGAGUGUUUUCUGAUAGUAGCUCUCUGACACCC
rnacentral:snoRNA from 1 species